rnacentral:lncRNA from 1 species
CUAAAAUUUGUAUGUUUUUUCAAGUCGUGUUUCCAAACAUUCCAUUUAUUUUUAAAUCACAAUCAUAAUUUCCUUUCUAUAGAUCUUGAAGUAUGACAUUUGUCAAAAAGAAUACUGGCCUAUAAAAUCCCUUUGGGUCAAAAUAAUUUGCCGAUUCUCUUAAAAUGAUGCGAUUGCGCUUCGAUUUCCGCUAAGACUGAAUUUCUUUUCUUGGUCUCCUUCUUCGUUGCUAAUUUCAUAAUAAAUCUUCAUGAGAUAUCCAUUUUUCAAGAGUUUGAAGAGAUGAACUUGAGAAGAGAGCCAUUAAGUUCCCAAAAUGAUUUUUUUCUCGAGCAGCCUGAUGCAAAUUUGGCUAAGAUAUGAAGAGAGUACUUUGAAAUCCAUCAUAUUUUUAGCAAAUGAUUGCAGAAACUAGCAUACAAUCAGGUCGGCCUCUUAUUGGAUUUAUUGAAGACGACCGUGUGAAGAAAGUCAAGCCUGGUUUUUGAGAACCGCCGUAAUUGAACGCAUCCCUUUUUGGAUUUCUUGUGAUGGUAAGAUCCCCCAACAGUUUUAGCUCGAGCUCUUUUGUCAUCCACCUGUUUAUUAUUUCCAUAAAGAAGGAUCCAGAGUCCCCAUUUGGGGAAUAGAUGGCAAAAACUCUUGUUUGAGCUCCUAUGAAAUCUGUGUCGAUAAUUAUAUAAUCAACCCCUUGGGUCUGUGUAUACUAGAAUUGGAUUUAGCCAUUCCUUGGCUAACGGCACGACUCCUCUGGAAGGAUGAGUGGUUUUAUAUUGAGAUUUGGACAUAAAUGAUUUGUGAAUUUUUGGGAAUACAUUAGGCAGGACAUUGUCGUCCAAGCGAGUAUGAACAUGAGCUAAUACGCCAGGGAGAUGUAAUGUAUCCAAGUAUUCGAAUAUCUUCUUAGUACGGGACUGGUUGGCUAUGGAGUUAACGUUGGUGCUCUUGCAAUUCCGUUUUCUCGUCGGUCCUUCCUUUCUUAGGUCCACACCAGCCCCUAAAUAAUAAUAUAAGGAGACAUAGUAAUUAAGAACUAUAUAUAUAUCAGAUAAACUCACUUCAAGCGGACAAUUAAAGGGUAGGAAACGCUCCUUGACUUCCCACAACUUCUUGGUGAGAAGUCGUGCGAUUAAGCAACGACGUGACACAGAUCGGGACUACCUGAAAUUGGGGCUACACAUCGGUUAUUAUUGUUCUAUCGAAAUUGAGCAUCAGCAGAGUCGGAGAGCCUUUUCUGGAAGAGUCCUGGAGAAUAACCCAAGCUAUUUUAUAAAAAGACGUCUGGAGCAGUUAGUUAAAUCUUAUUCUAAAUAAUGGGGGAUGAAUUCUUCAAAAUCCCUUCACAAACUCGAAAAAAAAGUGGUUUUGCUAUAAAUGAUUAUUUACAAAAUAUUAAGACCUCGAACCCACUCGAGAAAUAUUGUACAUUCUGUAAAAUCGAAAUAGUUCCUCCGGCCAUCUAUUCUAUAGUUGCCCUAAGGUAGUCCCCUUCCGUAAGGCAGCAGAAGAGUUAGUGUUCAGCACUUUUGGAAUAAUGUUUUCGAAGAGCGACUGCCUCAUAGUGAUGAAACCGCCAUUGCAAGAAAGUAUGAAGUUGGAGAGCAUCAUAUCAGACUUCCUACUAUUAAUUUAUGAACAUAUUGAGAAAAGCUGUUGUCCAGCACCCCUCUUAGUAAACACAUUAGAAAAUUAUAUUAACAUGAUGAUGACUAGGGUUGUUAAAAUCGUUGAAAAAUAACGAAUUUGAUUAGUUGAAAGAGAUUAUAUAAAAAAAGGAAUCAAACACGUUGGUAUGCUUGCAUCUUCUAAACAACAUUUCCUCAGUAUUGUACUGAUCAUCAGCAAAGCAACUUCCCCUUACUGCUCUCUCACGUGCAUCAUCAUCAUGCCGAAGAAAAUGUUCCUGUUUUAAUGGGUUUCUAACAACGGAGGUACUGAUGUGUGGAAUUAUGAUUUGGAAAGUAAAAGUAUAUCUUACCUUUUUUGCGGGUUCUCGUACCCAUCUCGUUCUGUAUGGCAAGUAUCCACCCCUCCAAAACCUCCCAUCACAUCAACAACUUAAAAGUCUUCAAGAAACACAAGACUCAAGGAAACGAAGGAGAAAUAGACUGGUCAUCAUUUAAUUUGGACGUAGCAGAGUUAUUUGUGUCGUACAAAAUCCCUUUAAAUGUUCUGCAUCAUCCAAAUUUCUCCUUAAUUUAUCAUUUAAUUGUCAACGCAUUUCGUGCCAAUUAUCUAUUCAUCCUUUAGUGUCAUUGGUAACUAAGAAGUUAUGAAUACACUUCCUGUAAUGAUGGGGUUGAUACUUUCUAACUUACAAAAUAUUUUGUCUUGCAUAAAUUUACAGAAUAUAAUAUACAUUCAUAAAGUUAUUUAAAGGGAAUAUAUAAUAAUAAUAUACAACAAUCCCUCUUCCUUCAUGUGUAAAUAAAUAAAUAAUUUAAGUUAAA